AGUGCAUUUUAGCUGGGGUGGGCCAAUGGGAAGGAUCCGGCCUCUGACUGAGGCCAGGGUAGGGAGGGGGCACUGCUCCAGCCCUCAGGUGGUUCAGAACUGUCUCUGGGACGGCGGACCGCACCACCAUUGCCCGCACCACCAUCGCCAGCACCACCAUCGCCCGCACCACCAUCGCCCGCACCACCAUCGCCCGCACCACCAUCGCCCGCACCACCAUCGCCCGCACCAAUGCUGCAACGCGGACAGGACGGCUGGAAAAUCUGAGUUCUCCUGUGCCUUCUGGUCCAGACCCUGUUCCUGGCAGGCACCCCUCUCUUGCAUCCUUGAGAGGAGGUGCCACAUCUGAGACUGUUCCAGGGUCUGCGACUCUUCCUCAAAGAGGGACACGGUGCUACGUUUCAGGGUACCCUCAGGCGUGGCUUUGGAACACAAAAAGGGUCAGGAUGAAGUUGGAGAGUUCCAGCCUUAGUUUCUGUUCCUCUUCUUGCUCGUCACUGUGACGUUCCUUGAAGAGGGCACACGUGUUCAUUCCACG